GGAUGUGAGGGUAAUCUGGCUGCAACAGCUGUCACCCCCAUUGAUCACCAGAGUUGAUUUGGCUGAUCUGGUUGGCUAGGCGGGUGUCCCCUUCCUCCCUCACCGCUCCACAUGUGUCCCUCCUGAGGCUGCAUACUUGGUCAAAGAGGAUGACCAUCCCCGAGAGAGGAAGACCGGUCUUCCAUCAAGGGUACAGAAGUAGCCGCGCUCCCCUGCUAGAACCUCCAAACAAACUCUCAAGGUGCAAAGUGCAUUUCAGCUCAAAUAGUCAAUGCACUCUUUCAACAAUAGUGAAUCAGUU
rnacentral:snRNA from 10 species